GAAUGUGAUAUUUUAAUGAUGUUUCCUCUCAUCCCACCAGGUAGACCAAGCUGUGAGCACUUGGAGGUUGUUCCAGUUUGGAAGCGAACGUGAUGAUGGAGUCAGGGAAGAGGAAUGCAGAUCUGGAAUGGGAUGCAAAAAUCAGUAAGUGUCUUUAUUUUCUUGUCCCCUGCUGGUAAGAGAUGGGUGCUAAAGGCUUGAACUAACAUUAUUUUCUCUAUUUAAAGGGAAGUUAACAGAAGAAUUUGGUAAGUCGCUUGUCUUCCUAACACACACCUAAGUUUGAACGCAUGAGUUUGAUUCUACAGCUGUAGCAUGAGCAAUGACCAACACGUGUAUUUGUAUUUUUUUUAUUUCAUUUAGAGG
rnacentral:lncRNA from 1 species